rnacentral:rRNA from 1 species
AGAGUUUGAUCAUGGCUCAGGAUGAACGCUAGCGGGAGGCCUAACACAUGCAAGCCGAGCGGUAUAGAAUCUUCGGAUUUUAGAGAGCGGCGUACGGGUGCGGAACACGUGUGCAACCUACCUUUAUCUGGAGGAUAGCCUUUCGAAAGGAGGAUUAAUACUCCAUAAUAUAUUGAUUGGCAUCAAUUAAAUAUUGAAAGCUCCGGCGGAUAGAGAUGGGCACGCGCAAGAUUAGUUAGUUGGUGAGGUAACGGCUCACCAAGACGAUGAUCUUUAGGGGGGCCUGAGAGGGUGAUCCCCACACUGGUACUGAGACACGGACCAGACUCCUACGGGAGGCAGCAGUGAGGAAUAUUGGACAAUGGGUGCAAGCCUGAUCCAGCCAUCCCGCGUGAAGGACGACUGCCUAUGGGUUGUAAACUUCUUUUGUAUAGGGAUAAACCUCUCCUCGUGAGGAGAGCUGAAGGUACUAUACGAAUAAGCACCGGCUAACUCCGUG